rnacentral:rRNA from 1 species
UACGUAGGGUGCAAGCGUUAAUCGGAAUUACUGGGCGUAAAGCGUGCGCAGGCGGUUGUGCAAGACAGAUGUGAAAUCCCCGGGCUCAACCUGGGAAUUGCAUUUGUGACUGCACGGCUAGAGUGCGUCAGAGGGGGGUAGAAUUCCACGUGUAGCAGUGAAAUGCGUAGAGAUGUGGAGGAAUACCGAUGGCGAAGGCAGCCCCCUGGGACGGUAUUGACGCUGAGACGCGAAAGCGUGGGGAGCAAACAGG